rnacentral:rRNA from 1 species
GAGUUUGAUCCUGGCUCAGAACGAACGCUGGCGGCGUGCCUAACACAUGCAAGUCGAACGUGAUCCAGAGCUUGCUCUGGUGAAAGUGGCGCACGGGUGAGUAACGCGUGGAUAACCUACCCUGGUAUCCGGGAUAACAUUCCGAAAGGGGUGCUAAUACCGGAUAAGCCCACGGGCUCUUUGGAGCUUGCGGGAAAAGGUGGCCUCUAUUUAUAAGCUACUGUAUCAGGAUGGGUCCGCGUACCAUUAGCUAGUUGGCGGUGUAACGGACCACCAAGGCGACGAUGGUUAGCUGGUCUGAGAGGAUGAUCAGCCACACUGGAACUGAGACACGGUCCAGACUCCUACGGGAGGCAGCAGUGGGGAAUUUUGCGCAAUGGGGGAAACCCUGACGCAGCAACGCCGCGUGAGUGAUGAAGGCCUUUGGGUCGUAAAGCUCUGUCAGAGGGGAAGAAAUGAUAUAGUGCUAAUACCACUUUAUCUAGACGGUACCCUCAAAGGAAGCACCGGCUAACUCCGUGCCAGCAGCCGCGGUAAUAC